rnacentral:tRNA from 1 species
GACUAAUAGCAUAUAUUUUAUAGUGCGUUGAAUUGCAGAUUCAAAGGUGUUUAAAACUUAGUCUUA